rnacentral:lncRNA from 1 species
CCUCCAUAUGCUGUGAGAGCGGCCCUAGAAAAGGCAAAAAGACAAAAACAAACAAACAAAAGAAUGAAGUAAUGUCAUUUGUAGCAACAUGGAUGGACUUAAAAAUGAUCAUAUUAAGUGAAGUAAGUCAGAAAGAGAACGACAAAUACUGUAUGAUGUCACUUAUAUAUGGAAUCUAAAAUACAACACAAAUGACUCACAGACAUAAAGAAGAGACUUGCGGUUGCCAAAGGGGAGGGGAGAGGGGAGGAAAUGAUGGAGAGUUUGCCAUUAGCAGAUGCCAACUAUUGUAGAGAAUGGAUAAACAACAAGGUCCUGUGGUAGCACCGGGAACCAUAUUCAAUAUCCUAUUAUAAACCUAGUGGAAAAGAAUAUGAAAAAGAAUAUGUGUGUGUGUGUGUGUGUGUGUACACAUAUAUGUAUAACUGAAUCACUUUGCUGUAUAGCAGAGAUUAAUGCCACAUUCUAAAUUAACUGUACUUCAAUAAAAGAAAAAUGAAAAGAAACGCUUGUCAGUGUCAAGGGGCAUUUUGGCAGUCCACAUUGGCCUGUGGAUCAGCCAUGUAGUUUGCCUUCUGACAUAUGCUGUGAGUUUGAGAAAGAAAAAGAUAUUAGAAGAGAUUAUAUCUGCAGAUACUAAGAAAUAAAAGAUUAAGAUCCAAGGUCCUUAGGCGCUCACACCGCUUUGGUAAAGGGCUUGUGAGCUGGAAGGCACUCUUCACCCACUCUCCACUGAGCGGUCCCUCUGACCCCCAGAGGGGGCAGUGCCAGGAUUCGCUCCUCCUCAGGGUACUGCCUCAGUACCCAACUUUACGUGUCAUCCUGAGACUUCAGUGCAGAGGUGAUCUUAGUAUUUUGGAAGAUUGCUUUCUGUAAUGAGAUGUUCACAUGGGACCUUUUGUGAGUUAGCUUCAGAAUGUAAAGUGCUAACUUCUUCUACAUUCUGGUGUGGUGUCGGAUGAUACAAUCGGAACUUGUAGAGGAUGCGGUCAAAGGUUAUGCGACUCUUAGGCCAGUGUUCACCUGGAAGGUGUAAAAGUGAGCGAAGAAAAGAUUUAAAAAGUGAGAAGCAUUUUAACUGGAAAACGUUCUUGGAGAUGCAGCCUCUUGCACAUGGGGAGAGACAGGCGCUCACUCUGCCUUACUUCAGGCUGAACGACCAAUGUUUUAAGGAGCCAGGAGUCUAUAGGCACAGGGCUGCUAAUGGCCUCAUGCCUGUUAAAGCCUAAUGGGGAAAACUGUGUCUGGUAUCUGUACUGGCGACAGAUGAAGAGAGGCAGUUUUACUGGGAAAGACCUGCUCUCCCAUAGGUCUUCGGAGCCAAGAAUAUAUGCUUCUAAUGGACCAGAUGGAUCACCAGAAAAGAGGGGCUGGGAAGCACCCUAAAAGGCUUUUGCCUAAAAGGACUUUUAAAUGGGUGUUGGGACCCCAGGAAAGCAAGUCUCAUUGAGGAGUUCCCUGGUGGCUCAGUGGAUUAAGGAUAUGGUGUUGUCACUGCAUUGGCUUGGGUCACUGACUGUCUGUAACUAACUCAUAAAUAUGCCACAAGAAGGGGUCAGCUGUGAACAUCCCCUGAACCUAGUCUGUGAAUCAACUCACCAUUAUGCCCAAAGGACAACCAUGUCAGAUUACAUCAGCACUGAUAAAGAAAAACUUCUCCUGCCUUUGUUCCUCUUCAAUAUUUCGCUUCAAUCCUCAAGGAGCCAAGGCAGCCUCUGGAGGAAAAAGAGAGAAAGGCGAUUACCGACAACAAACCUAAUGAAGACCUGAUCUGAAAAAGGAAGACACUUAAACUACAAAGAAAGUUAAAUUCACGAUAAUUCCAUAGGAUUGAACUAUUAAUCACUGAACUUAGGCUGUCCAGGGAAACAGUUUUUAUUAUUGGCAAGCUAUGGAGCCAACUCGAUGUUAAAUCCUUAGAAAAGAACUAGCAUCCAGAAUAUGUCUGAAUCUGCAAUGAGCAAAGAGAUAAAAUGCCCCCUCCCUACCCCCACCACGCCACUUACAAUCUUGCUCUUUCAGUGUCUUGGUUAUACUUUUAUUGUUUGCAGGAGGAUAACUAGAGGGUACAAAGCUCACUACAACUUAAAUUCCAUCUGUUUUCUUACCCCACCCCUACUCUAUGUAAGAUUCCCCUCUAAUAUAAUUAAAAUAGCUACUAUCAAUUACUAGAGCAUUUGCUUCAUUCCACAUACUAUGCUAAGUGCUCUAUGAAAAUAAACCAAUCUUGUUAUUAACCUGCCCGAGGCAGUGGGUAUCAUAGUCUCUUAUUACAGUUUAGGAAACGGGCUAAGAUAGGGGAAGCCCUUUAACCAAUACCACAUGACUAAUGAGUGGCAGAGUCCAGGUUUCAGCGAAAAUCUAACCAACUCAAAACUUCAUCUACCAACCAUGAGCCCACUUCCUCUGUCUCAAGCAGAUGUUAAGGAGACACUUGUAAUAAAGACUUUGUUAGUCUCUAAUUAAACUAAGUCUGGGAAAGAACUAACCUUCAGCAACUCAUUCCAGCUUAAGCUCCCAUUGCUGUAAGAGUAUCCUUUGUAAAGUAGCAGAAAUCAAUUCCUGGACAUUUCUGCUCAUUGCUGUUACUUAAUUCUGCCUUAUCAACACCACAUUAAAGUAGUGUAAAUACUUGAAUACAUGAGAAUCUUUUUGCUACAAUGGCCAUAUCUUCUUUAAAAAUAUUUUUUUUCCAGUUGAACCCCCUCAGUCAUUUCUAACAUGUGUCACACUUUUAACUUGUCCUUAAAUGAUACCAGUUAAACGUAGCUUCCUUGACAAGUCUUUUCACAGUGGUACAUAGAGAGCACUUUGCUUGGUACACUGUAUUAUAGGCAAUUUAAAUGUCUAGAUGCAAUUAGACUCUAAUUGUGAAUGUUGGUUGGUUGGUUGGGUUGAUAAUUCCUCACCAGCUCCUUUUUCAAUUCAAAUUCCUUCAUCUGGGGGACCCCCCCCCCAGUUCGUUAAUGUAGCUCUAAAAUCAUUCUGAUCAUGUUCAGUCUUGACUUUGCCCCUCAAGAGAUUUGAUAUCUGUUUUCUUGUGCUGAGGGCCAUGGCCUCCACUGAGUCAUUUAAACCAUUCAUGUCUCUGCCUUCCCCUUAGUGAUCUUUUAAUUCAUCCUGAUACAGCUGAGCUUGUUUCCUUUUUGACAUUCUGCUUUAAAUAUAAUCCCACGACAUGCAAGCAGAGACGUUUCUAGACAUUUAGAAGCAGAGAGGUAGACUUCAGGUGGAAUGUUAAUGAUAGAGUCACUUUUGGUGUGUUCUUAAUUCAGAGAUAGAUUGAUUUAAAGAGAAUAUGUGAAAACAGAAAGAACAAUGAGCAGGAAGGAAGACUAAACUAGGAAAGGGUGGAUGGGGGGAGGUGCCUAAACAAUAGAGAUUAAUAAUAAUGAUUCCAGAAAAUAACUUCCGUUUACGAACUAAUUACUAUGUUCCAGACUCUGAAAAUUGCUUUACCCACAGCAUACUAUAUAAUUCUUAACACAGUGUUAAAAAGAUAAUUAUUAUUUUUCUUAUGUUACUAAGGAAACUGAGGCUUGGGGUGUUAAAUCACUUGUUACAGGUUUUAUAGGCAUUAAAUUACAGAGGUAAAGAGUUACCAUUGUGGCUCGGUGGGUUAAAAAUCCAACUAGUAUCCAUGAGGAUGCAGGUUCAAUCCCUGGCCUUUCUCAGUGGGUUAAGGAUCCGGCGUUGCCUCAAGAUGCAGUGUGGGUCAGAGAUGCUGCUUGGAUCUCAUGCGGCUCUGGCUGUGGUGCAGGCUGGCAGCUGCAGCUCUGAUUCGACCCCCAGCCCAGAAACUUCCAUAUGCCA